AUACUUUCACCUGUGAGGGAAAAAAAUAAAAUAAAAAAAAUAAAAAAUCCUAUGAUCAAACCAACACGAAACAUUCAUUAUUAAGGUACCCAAACCAAGAAACAACAUUUUCCACUUAUAAAAAAUUUAAAUCUUUUAUGGGAUAUUUUUUUUCUGGUUAUUUUGAUCUUGGGUUUUCUUGAAGGAAUCAAUUAGUGAUCUUUUAGUGGAAAAAGUUCAAAUCUUUUGCAAGUUUAUUAGGAAAAAGGGUGACCCUUUAAUUAGUUUACUAGUAAAGUUAUAUUUUUUGUGCAAGUUUAUCAGGAAAAAAGUGGAUUCUUUACUUUGUUUACUAGUAAAGUUAGAUUUUUUGUGCAAGUUCAUCAAGAAAAAGGUGACCUUUUAAUUAGUUUACUACUAGUAAAGUUAGUAUAAUUUUUGUGCAAGUUUAUCAGGAAAAAGGUGAUUUUUUACUUUGUUUACUAGUAAAGUUGGAAUUUUUACUAGUAUUUUGGGGUAAAAAAUAUGGCUUGUGAAGGUAGUUAGAAUCAAUUGGUGAUCUCUAAGGGAAGAAAGUUCAAAUCUUUUGCAAGUUUAUCAGGAAAAAAGUGGACCUACUAGUGAAGUUGAAUUUUUGUGCAAGUUUAUCAGGAAAAAGGUGAGACUUUUUUACUUUGUUUACUUGUAAAGUUUGAACUUUUACUAGUAUUUUGUGGUAAAAAGAAUGGCUUGUGAAGGUAAUUAUAUGUGGAGUUUGAGUGGUAUUGUGGCAGCUUUUGUUGAUCUUGCAAUAGCAUAUUUCUUGCUUUGUGCAGCAACAGUAGCAUUUUUAGCAUCAAAGUUUCUUGGUUUUUUUGGUUUGAGAUUGCCAUGUCCUUGUGAUGGACUUUUUGGUACUUUCCCAAAUGGGAAUUUAUGUUUUCAUAGACUCUUGAUUGAUUUCCCAGCUGAGAAAGUGUCCAAUGUUCAACUCUCUAUAAAAGCAAACUUCCCUUUUAAUGGUAAUACUAUUUUGGGAAAAGACGAGAAUUGUGAUUUGAAUUGGAGAUUAAUUGGUGAUAAAGAGAAUAGUCUUCAUGGGUAUCUUGAAAUGGGUGAUGAGGAUGGUUCACGUAAUUCAGUAUCGGAUGCAAGAAAGUCACAUAAUAUUGCUAGGAUUGAGUUGAGUCCAAAGGGGAAAGGGGUGAUGAAUCAGAGACAAAGAGGAGGGAUUCGUCGAAGAAGGCGUAAAGCAGCUGUUGAUUAUGGGAGAUCUUCAUCAGUUUCAUCAUAUGACCCUCCAUAUGAAGACUUUCCACUAAGUCCUCCAUCCCCUCCCAGUACCAAUAAAGAAGAUGGUGGCAACCCUCCACUGGUUAUGAGAUUGGACCACAGAGACAGCCUUGAAUUGAAUGGACUUCCUGAUGAAGUUGAGCACAUUGAAAAGAAUGUUGCAUCUAUUGGAGAGCUGAAGCAUAACGGCCAACUUGUUUCCGGCUUCAAUGAGGAAAACAGAACAAGACUCUUGGAACGAGCCUUAGAACACGAACAAGAAGCUCGAGAUGCUCUUUGCCUUGAGCUUGAGAAGGAAAGAAAUGCUGCAGCGAGUGCUGCAGAUGAGGCUAUGGCUAUGAUCUUACGUCUACAAGAGGAGAAGGCAUCUAUUGAAAUGGACGCCCGGCAAUAUCAGAGAUUAAUUGAAGAGAAAUCUGCUUUUGAAGCUGAGGAAAUGCACAUUCUAAUGGAGAUCCUGAUGAGGACAGAAAGGGAGAAACACUUUUUAGAGAAGGAGCUUGAAGUAUAUAGGCAGAUGACUUUUCUUGGAAAUGAAGAAUCAAGAGUUGAUAGUGGGAAUGUAGCGGAUGCUUCAUCUGAUCCUAAUGAGGAUCCACUUCUUAUGCUUCGGCAGAUUAGUGCAUCUUUUGACAAGGCACCGAUUCACAGACAGAAUAAAGAUGUCAGCUCCCAGAAGCAAAUUGACUUGGCAGUGUCCUCUUAUAGCAGCCAAGAAUUUCAGGAGAAAGAGAUGGUGUUUACAGUUAACAACUUUGGUAUGCCACCAGCGAAUAGGCAAAUACUGGACACUUUCUUGAAACCCCCUGAGGCAGGCCUUUCAAAACAGAAGCUUCCUGAUCAUGCCAUUUCGCUAGAAGGGGAAGUGCUAAAAGAAAAUUCAGAUAUGGAAAGACAUGACAGAGUUUUGAAGUAUCAUGAGACAAUUGGAUAUCAGGGAUCAAAAUGUCCAUGCAAUUUGACCUUGGAUAAAGAACCUCAAGUUCAUGAUGUUCAUGUGAUUGUUGACGGGUUCAACUUUUGCAAUGAUGUCAAUAGUGGUGAAUCUGGGAAAACUAGUCUCCCUAUUGAAGCUUCUCCUACACAGGAUGUAAUUAGGGAUCGUCCAAGUACUAGCACGUCUAAUAGUCAAAUGGAUCUUAAAAGCAGUUCGGACACUGCUUCUGCGCUUCCGCCAGUGGGCCAACGUAGUAAAACUUUGCUAUGUGAUGCGCGGGGAAAUCCCAUGUCCUCAGUAGACAAUGAAAGAUUGAAAAUUGAAUCUGAAUUGGGACGGCUUCGAGAGAGGUUAAAGAUUGUGCAAGAGGGAAGAGAAAAGCUUGACUUGACUGCAGAGCAUAGAGAAAGAGAAAAGAUGCAGUUAAAGCUUUUGGAGGAUAUAGCACGCCAACUUCACGAGAUUCGGCAGCUUACUGAACCUGAGAAGGCUGUACGACAGGCUUCCUUGCCUCUGCCAUCCUCCAAGCAUAGAAGUAAUGGCAUGCAAUUGUGUCGCAGAGCAUGUCAAAGAAAAGGCGUUCUCGAAGUGUCUCUGUAGGAAUGCAACAUAGCUCUUGAGGGGUUCAAACGGUUCGGAGCUUGGAGUUCCUAAUGCUGAGCCUCAAUAGUUCCAUCACAUUUACUCGGAUCCGGGGAAGACGAUCCAAAUAAUAUACCCCGUAUUGUUUUUUGAAGAGAUGUUGUGCAGCCAUUUGAGAACACGUUUUGCUGGGAACGGCCUCUCUAAAGUAUGCAGCUGAUGUUAACUGGAUAAGAAGAAAGGUUUUGACUAAGAAAGCACACCAUUGCAAAGGUUUUGACUAUGAAGGCACACCAUUGCUAUAGUCCCGCUGCUGCUACGAAGAGGCCACUGUUUGAUGUAUGACCUUAUGAGAUCAACAUAGAGAGGGAAUUGAUUUAAUGCAAAAAGCACCACGGGUAUGCAUGUUGCCGCAUAUAUUGGAAAUGCCACAUUCUUGAAGUUGUCAAGGAGGACAAAGAAAUGGGCAGCACAGAAUGAGAUCAAGAUAGCGGUUAUUGAUGCAAAAAGCGAAGUUAAUCCAAGGAGCAACUUUCUUGGCAAGUCUUUCUCGAAAUCAUUGUGUUGGCAUCGAGAUGUGAGGAUAGCCAAGAAAAACACCAGGGCCGUGACAGAGAAGCAAAGAGAAACAAGUGAUGAUAUAGAGAACACGUCAAAAGCAGGUUGAUUUUCAAAGUGUGGAUAGCCACUUUCAUUGGGACCGCCUGGGAUUUGGGAAGACGUAGCAAAUGCAACUGUAGCAAUCAGUGCUGCAAUGACAGAGAAUGAUUCGGCAGUUUUGACGAGCCAUUCAGUUCCAUCUUUGAGUAACGUUGCAUGCGUCUCUAUGAAGACCUGUCUUGGUGUCUGACCUUUCUUGUUAUAACGAACAUAUGACUGUCGUGGCAAAGUUUGCUUGACAUACUGCAUUAUGAUAAGAAAAUCUUUACAUGUUAGUGUAUUUUUUUGAUGAAAA